UUUACGGAGCGGGCUAACUGCAGUCGACGAUGACCACCUUCGGGUGGGGAUUAGUGGCGAACGGGUGAGUAACACGUGGGCAAUCUGCCCUGCACUCUGGGACAAGCCCUGGAAACGGGGUCUAAUACCGGAUACUGAACCGCUUGGGCAUCCAGGCGGUUCGAAAGCUCCGGCGGUGCAGGAUGAGCCCGCGGCCUAUCAGCUUGUUGGUGAGGUAACGGCUCACCAAGGCGACGACGGGUAGCCGGCCUGAGAGGGCGACCGGCCACACUGGGACUGAGACACGGCCCAGACUCCUACGGGAGGCAGCAGUGGGGAAUAUUGCACAAUGGGCGAAAGCCUGAUGCAGCGACGCCGCGUGAGGGAUGACGGCCUUCGGGUUGUAAACCUCUUUCAGCAGGGAAGAAGCGAAAGUGACGGUACCUGCAGAAGAAGCGCCGGCUAACUACGUGCCAGCAGCCGCGGUAAUACGUAGGGCGCGAGCGUUGUCCGGAAUUAUUGGGCGUAAAGAGCUCGUAGGCGGCUUGUCGCGUCGGUUGUGAAAGCCCGGGGCUUAACCCCGGGUCUGCAGUCGAUACGGGCAGGCUAGAGUUCGGUAGGGGAGAUCGGAAUUCCUGGUGUAGCGGUGAAAUGCGCAGAUAUCAGGAGGAACACCGGUGGCGAAGGCGGAUCUCUGGGCCGAUACUGACGCUGAGGAGCGAAAGCGUGGGGAGCGAACAGGAUUAGAUACCCUGGUAGUCCACGCCGUANACGGUGGGCACUAGGUGUGGGCGACAUUCCACGUCGUCCGUGCCCGCAGCUACGCAUUAAGUGCCCCGCCUGGGGAGUACGGCCGCAAGGCUAAAACUC
rnacentral:rRNA from 1 species